rnacentral:lncRNA from 1 species
GGCGGGUUCUGGACAGACCUACGCUGUCGGGGAGUGUUUACUUCGCCUCCACUUCUGUUCCUCCCCGCCCUGGUGCUGCUCCAGGUCACAUACUCUUCCUGAGCCGGCUUCAGCCUCUCCGCGCAGAAGUCUCCCGGAGCCAUGGCCUAGUAUUCUUAUGUGAAGUCUACCAAGCUUGUGCUCAAGGGAACCGAGGUGAAGAGCUGGGUCCUGCAGCUCCGGCGGGAGCCUCCUCAGUUCUUUUCGGACGCACUCCACCCCCGCGAAUCCGGUGGAAGCCGUGAUGCGGAGAGCCGGCUUCGUGGCCUCCCAGGCUUCGCUCUGACCCUGUCUGGGCUGGAUGGAGGCCGGACCGCCCUUCCUGGCGCCUGUGCAGAGAGGGGCAGCCUCCUGCGCGGACGACCCUGGAAACAGGAUAGACGGGCGGGUGACCCGUGACCCCGUACCCACGAGUUUGGGUCCCUUGAGGCAUCUCUCCAGGCCUCUGCCUGAUUUGCCUGAGGUUGACUGUACAUGCAAAUAUUGAGCUUUCCUCCUGGCCUCCGUGAUAAACAGAAGUUUUGAUAUUGUUAGGCGAGAUGGAAAGAAAGUAUCAAGGAGUGAGCUGAAGCCACUGCCCUUGAGAACCCUCUCGAGGAGUCUGGCCUCAUGAAGAUGCCAGAAUAAAUGGCAGUAAGAAGAAAAAGAGCAAAGAUAAGAAGAGAAAAAGAGAAGAUGAAGAAACCCAGCUUGAUAUGUUGAGGAACGCAGCUGCUCACCAGCAACGGAACAAAGCUGGACGGAGAAUGACUUUGAAGAGCUGAGAGAAGGCUUCAGACGAUCAAAUUACUCUGAGCUACGGGAGGACAUUCAAACCAAAGGCAAAGAAGUUGAAAACUUUGAAAAAAAUAAAUGUACAUUAAUUAACGUGGAAUCUGGUGAACAGUAACAAACUUUGGUGAAAUUUCAGGAACCAUAGCCAUUGAAGUGGAUGAGGGAACCUAUAUACAUGCACUCAACAAUGGUCUUUUUACCCUGGGAGCUCCACACAAAGAAGAAUCGCCCUGAAACCUGGCUAUGGAAAAUAUCUUAGUAUAAAUUCAGAUGAACUUGUUGUUGGCGUUCAGAUGCAAUUGGACCAAGAGAACAAUGGGAACCAGUCUUUCAAAAUCAAGAGGUCAGAAAUGGUGGGCCAGCUGAGAUGGGAGAAGAAAAGAGAAAUGGCACAAAGUGGAGAGAAGACACCGACCAUACCUCCUUUCCUCUCUUUCCCACCACAGGUGGACAGCCCAAAGCACACUCCAACUGGAGGAAGGUUUGCCAUUAAAGAUAAGGUGGAGUUUUGAUUAUUA